AGCGAACGCUGGCGGCAUGCCUAACACAUGCAAGUCGAGCGCCCAGCAAUGGGAGCGGCAGACGGGUGAGUAACGCGUGGGGAUGUGUCCAAUGGUGCGGAAUAACCCAGGGAAACUUGGAGUAAUACCGCAUGUGCCCUUCGGGGGCAAGAUUUAUCGCAAUUGGAUCAACCCGCGUCUGAUUAGCUAGUUGGUGAGGUAAAGGCUCACCAAGGCGACGAUCAGUAGCUGGUCUGAGAGGAUGAUCAGCCACACUGGGACUGAGACACGGCCCAGACUCCUACGGGAGGCAGCAGUGGGGAAUAUUGGACAAUGGGCGCAAGCCUGAUCCAGCCAUGCCGCGUGAGUGAUGAAGGCCUUAGGGUUGUAAAGCUCUUUCGCCGGUGAAGAUAAUGACGGUAACCGGAGAAGAAGCCCCGGCUAACUUCGUGCCAGCAGCCGCCGUAA
rnacentral:rRNA from 1 species